rnacentral:rRNA from 1 species
GACGAACCGUGCGAACGUUGUUCGGAUUCACUGGGCUUAAAGGGCGCGUAGGCGGCCGCUCAAGUCGGGGGUGAAAUCUUUCAGCUUAACUGGAAAAUAGCCUCCGAUACUGGGCGGCUCGAGGGAGAUAGGGGUGCGCGGAACUUCCGGUGGAGCGGUGAAAUGCGUAGAUAUCGGAAGGAACGCCGGUGGCGAAAGCGGCGCACUGGAUCUCCACUGACGCUGAGGCGCGAAAGCCAGGGGAGCAAACGGG